UACGGAGGGAGCUAGCGUUGUUCGGAAUUACUGGGCGUAAAGCGCACGUAGGCGGCUUUGUAAGUUAGAGGUGAAAGCCCGGGGCUCAACCCCGGAAUUGCCUUUAAGACUGCAUCGCUUGAAUCCGGGAGAGGUGAGUGGAAUUCCGAGUGUAGAGGUGAAAUUCGUAGAUAUUCGGAAGAACACCAGUGGCGAAGGCGGCUCACUGGACCGGUAUUGACGCUGAGGAGCGAAAGCGAGGGGAGCAAACGGG
rnacentral:rRNA from 1 species